rnacentral:rRNA from 1 species
UACGAAGGGGGCGAGCGUUGUUCGGAUUUACUGGGCGUAAAGGGCUCGUAGGCGGCCAACUAAGUCAGACGUGAAAUCCCUCGGCUUAACCGGGGAACUGCAUCUGAUACUGGAUGGCUUGAGUUCGGGAGAGGGAUGCGGAAUUCCAGGUGUAGCGGUGAAAUGCGUAGAUAUCUGGAGGAACACCGGUGGCGAAGGCGGCAUCCUGGACCGACACUGACGCUGAGGAGCGAAAGCCAGGGGAGCAAACGGG